GAUGAAGAACGUAGCGAAAUGCGAUAAGUAGCGUGAAUUGCAGAAUUCAGUGAAUCAUCGAAUCUUUGAACGCACAUUGCGCCCCUUGGUAUCCCGAGGGGCAUGCCUGUUCGAGCGUCAUUUCACCACUCAAGCCUGGCUUGGUGUUGGGCGACGUCCUCUUUGGGGACGCGCCUCGAAACGCUCGGCGGCGUGGCACCGGCUUUAAGCGUAGCAGAAUCUUUCGCUUUGGAAGUCGGGGCCCCGUCUGCCGGAAGACCUGCUCGCAAGGUUGACCUCGGAUCAGGCAGGGAUACCCGCUGAACUUAAGCAUAUCAAUAAGCGGAGGA
rnacentral:misc_RNA from 1 species